CCUGCCCUUUACUCCGGGAUAGUCUCCUGAAAGGGAGUUUAAUACCGGAUGUGUUUGUUUUUCCGCAUGGGAGCGACAAAUAAAGAUUAAUUGGUAAAGGAUGGGGAUGCGUCCCAUUAGCUUGUUGGCGGGGUAACGGCCCACCAAGGCAACGAUGGGUAGGGGUUCUGAGAGGAAGGUCCCCCACAUUGGAACUGAGACACGGUCCAAACUCCUACGGGAGGCAGCAGUGAGGAAUAUUGGUCGAUGGGCGAGAGCCUGAACCAGCCAAGUAGCGUGAAGGACGACGGCCCUACGGGUUGUAAACUUCUUUUAUAAGGGAAUAAAGUUCGCCACGCGUGGUGUUUUGUAUGUACCUUAUGAAUAAGCAUCGGCUAAUUCCGUGCCAGCAGCCGCGGUAAUACGGAAGAUGCGAGCGUUAUCCGGAUUUAUUGGGUUUAAAGGGAGCGUAGGCGGGCUUUUAAGUCAGCGGUCAAAUGCCACGGCUCAACCGUGGCCAGCCGUUGAAACUGUAAGCCUUGAGCCUGCACAGGGCACAUGGAAUUCGUGGUGUAGCGGUGAAAUGCUUAGAUAUCACGAAGAACUCCGAUCGCGAAGGCAUUGUGCCGGGGCAGCACUGACGCU
rnacentral:rRNA from 1 species